rnacentral:rRNA from 1 species
GAUGAACGCUAGCGAUAGGCUUAACACAUGCAAGUCGAGGGGCAGCAUGGUCUUAGCUUGCUAAGGCUGAUGGCGACCGGCGCACGGGUGCGUAACGCGUAUGCAACUUGCCUCACAGAGGGGGAUAACCCGUCGAAAGACGGACUAAUACCGCGUACACUCUAUGUUGGGCAUCCAAUGUAGAGGAAAUGAAAUUCGCUGUGAGAUAGGCAUGCGUCCCAUUAGCUAGUUGGUGAGGUAACGGCUCACCAAGGCGACGAUGGGUAGGGGAACUGAGAGGUUGAACCCCCACACUGGUACUGAGACACGGACCAGACUCCUACGGGAGGCAGCAGUGAGGAAUAUUGGUCAAUGGGCGAGAGCCUGAACCAGCCAAGUCGCGUGAAGGAUGACUGUCUUAUGGAUUGUAAACUUCUUUUAUACGGGAAUAACAAGAGUCACGUGUGGCCCCCUGCAUGUACCGUAUGAAUAAGCAUCGGCUAACUCCGUG